rnacentral:rRNA from 1 species
AGAGUUUGAUCCUGGCUCAGGAUGAACGCUAGCGGCAGGCCUAACACAUGCAAGUCGAGGGGUAGAAGCUUUCGGGCUUUGAGACCGGCGCACGGGUGCGUAACGCGUAUGCAAUCUGCCUUGUACUGAGGGAUAGCCCGAGAAAUUUGGAUUAAUACCUCAUAGUAUUUUAGUGUGGCAUCACAUUAUUAUUAAAGGUUACGGUACAAGAUGAGCAUGCGUCCCAUUAGCUAGUUGGUAUGGUAACGGCAUACCAAGGCUACGAUGGGUAGGGGUCCUGAGAGGGAGAUCCCCCACACUGGUACUGAGACACGGACCAGACUCCUACGGGAGGCAGCAGUGAGGAAUAUUGGUCAAUGGGCGAAAGCCUGAACCAGCCAUGCCGCGUGCAGGAUGAAGCAUCUAUGGUGUGUAAACUGCUUUUGUACGGGAAGAAACACCGCUACGUGUAGCGGCUUGACGGUACCGUAAGAAUAAGGAUCGGCUAACUCCGUGCCGGCAGCCGCGGUAAUACGGAGGAUCCAAGCGUUAUCCGGAAUCAUUGGGUUUAAAGGGUCCGUAGCGGUUUUAUAAGUCAGUGGUGAAAUCCGGCAGCUCAACUGUCGAACGGCCAUUGAUACUGUAGGACUUGAAUUAUUGUGAAGUAACUAGAAUAUGUAGUGUAGCGGUGAAAUGCUUAGAUAUUACAUGGAAUACCAAUUGCGAAGGCAGGUUACUAACAAUACAUUGACGCUGAUGGACGAAAGCGUGGGGAGCGAACGGGAUUAGAUACCCUGGUAGUCCACGCCGUAAACGAUGGAUACUAGCUGUUUGGUUGUAAGACUGAGUGGCUAAGCGAAAGUGAUAAGUAUCCCACCUGGGGAGUACGGGCGCAAGCCUGAAACUCAAAGGAAUUGACGGGGGCCCGCACAAGCGGUGGAGCAUGUGGUUUAAUUCGAUGAUACGCGAGGAACCUUACCAGGGCUUAAAUGUAGUAUGACAGGUUUGGAAACAGAUCCUUCUUCGGACAUAUUACAAGGUGCUGCAUGGUUGUCGUCAGCUCGUGCCGUGAGGUGUCAGGUUAAGUCCUAUAACGAGCGCAACCCCUGUUGUUAGUUGCCAGCGAGUCAUGUCGGGAACUCUAGCAAGACUGCCGGUGCAAACCGUGAGGAAGGUGGGGAUGACGUCAAAUCAUCAUGGCCUUUAUGCCUAGGGCUACACACGUGCUACAAUGGGUGCUACAAAGGGCAGCGACCCUGUGAAGGGGAGCCAAUCUCAAAAAGGCACUCACAGUUCGGAUUGAAGUCUGCAACUCGACUUCAUGAAGCUGGAAUCGCUAGUAAUCGUAGAUCAGCAAUGCUACGGUGAAUACGUUCCCGGACCUUGUACACACCGCCCGUCAAGCCAUGGAAGUCGGGUGUACCUGAAAUCGGUAACCGCAAGGAGCCGCUUAGGGUAAAAUCGAUAACUGGGGCUAAGUCGUAACAAGGUA